rnacentral:lncRNA from 1 species
CUAGUGUACUCGCAGAGGGUGCGGAGCACCCUAACUCGCACACGCGCGCGCGCGUGGCGUGGGCGAUGGACGCAAUGUGGCGCUUUGAUGGCGCACUUUGCACUUCGCUCGCAACGCCGCAAGCCGCAUGGCGCAUGACCCAGGUAGGUCUGCGCGCAGUGGCGGAUGAGCGCGUCCGCGCAUGGUGCAUGACCAGCUGGCCUGCGCACUGGCGCAUGGACUGGUGUGACGUGCGCGACGCACCAAGUGAGCCAAUACGGCGCGUCUGUGUGGCGUGAUCGUAUAGGCUCACUUGUGACGUGGCGCACGCGCGCAUGAGCGUGCAGACUAGUAAGCGCGUGAAAGUGAGCCAAAACGGCGCACGCACGCAUGAGCGUGAAGACCUGAGUGCGCAUGAAAUUGAGCCAAAGAUGGCCCGCGCGCACCAGUCUGUCUUGCGCGCGUGCGCAGAAGCUUCCAG